GUCUUUUAGAUUAUAAUUUAAAGUCUGGCCUGCCCUAUGAAAAAUUAAAUGGCCGCAGUAUUUUGACUGUGCAAAGGUAGCAUAAUAAUUAGUUUUUUAAUUGAAAGCUGGAAUGAAAGGUUGAACGAAAAAAUAUCUGUCUCAAUUUAAUUUAAUUAGAAUUUUAUUUUUUAGUAAAAAAGCUAAAAUAAUUUUUAAAGACGAGAAGACCCUAUAGAGUUUUAUAUUUUAAUAUUAUAUAUUUUAUAGAAUUAUUUUAUGAUUUUAAAUAUUUUAUUGGGGUGAUAAAUAAAUUUAAAUAACUUUAUUAAUUUCUUACAUUAAUAUAUGAUUAAUUGAUCCAUAAAAAUGAUUAAAGAUUAAAUUACCUUAGGGAUAACAGCGUUAUUUUUUUUUAGAGUUCUUAUCGAAAAAAAAGAUUGCGACCUCGAUGUUGGAUUAAAAUUUAUUUAUGGUGUAGAAGCUAUAAUAUUAGGUCUGUUCGACCUUUAAAAUUUUACAUGAUCUGAGUUCAGACC
rnacentral:rRNA from 1 species